rnacentral:rRNA from 1 species
CUACGGGAUGCUGCAGUGAGGAAUAUUGCACAAUGGGGGAAACCCUGAUGCAGCAACGCCGCGUGGAGGAUGACGCAUUUCGGUGUGUAAACUCCUUUUAUGAGUCAAGAAAAUGACGGUAGCUCAUGAAUAAGCACCGGCUAACUCCGUGCCAGCAGCCGCGGUAAUACGGAGGGCGCAAGCGUUACUCGGAAUCACUGGGCGUAAAGGACGCGUAGGCGGGCUUUCAAGUCAGGUGUGAAAUCCUACAGCUUAACUGUAGAACUGCACUUGAAACUGGGAGCCUAGAGUAUGGGAGGGGGAGAUGGAAUUAGUGGUGUAGGGGUAAAAUCCGUAGAUAUCACUAGGAAUACCGAAAGCGAAGGCGAUCUCCUGGAACAUUACUGACGCUAAGGCGUGAAAGCGUGGGGAGCAAACAGGAUUAGAUACCCUUGUAGUC